AGAACGAACGCUGGCGGCAUGCCUAAUACAUGCAAGUCGAACGAACUCUUCGGAGUUAGUGGCGCACGGGUGCGUAACGCGUGGGAAUCUGCCCCUUGGUUCGGAAUAACAGUUGGAAACGACUGCUAAUACCGGAUGAUGACGAAAGUCCAAAGAUUUAUCGCCAAGGGAUGAGCCCGCGUAGGAUUAGCUAGUUGGUGAGGUAAGGCUCACCAAGGCAACGAUCCUUAGCUGGUCUGAGAGGAUGAUCAGCCACA
rnacentral:rRNA from 1 species